GGACUGUGACAAAAUUUGAACGGUCCGUUUCAAUUUUGAUCCGUUCCCACCGCUGUGAUCCAUGAAAUUUGAGUGGACUGGUUAAAAUUUGAACAGUCCACCCAUCGACCGAUGCAACUCAUCCCGCUGUGCCCUUUUUCUCUUCUCCAUCUCCAGAAAGUUCUAAAUUCUCUCCACCUCACCCUCCAUCGCCUCUCUCUUCCAUGUCGGUGCGUCCAGAUUCACGAGUUCCUCCACACCAGUGCCUCCGUAGUCGCUCGCUCUACCACUCGCUCCCACCGACUGCUCCCACC
rnacentral:lncRNA from 1 species